rnacentral:rRNA from 1 species
UACGUAGGGUGCAAGCGUUAAUCGGAAUUACUGGGCGUAAAGCGUGCGCAGGCGGUUUUGUAAGUCUGUCGUGAAAUCCCCGGGCUCAACCUGGGAAUUGCGAUGGAGACUGCAAGGCUAGAAUCUGGCAGAGGGGGGUAGAAUUCCACGUGUAGCAGUGAAAUGCGUAGAGAUGUGGAGGAACACCGAUGGCGAAGGCAGCCCCCUGGGUCAAGAUUGACGCUCAUGCACGAAAGCGUGGGGAGCAGACAGG